UUGGGAGAAGCUGUGAGCUUGCAAUCAAUGCUUAGAGAGCUGCAUCUGACCCUCCCCUCCUUGACUAAUUGCUUCCAUAUGCUGACAUGGGGUGAUUUUGCUGGUCUGAGGAGUCAUAAAGGAGGGGGUGGAAGGUACAGCCCCUUUCCCCAGCCCAGCCGGAGCAGCUCUGGGACACUCAGCCUUCCUGCCAGGCAGAGAAACUGUCUUUUUCAUCUGAUAUCAUGGGUGAGAGAAGAAAUGGAGCUCGAGAGACAAAAGCCCAGUGCUCAACUAUCUCUCUAAUUUUAAUUUUUUUUUCUUCUCCUCCAGAGAUUCUUUCGUACCUACUUCAUCCCAGUGAAACUUUCCCCACCCCUCUCACACCUGGGUCUCUGCCUGUCUGCUCUCCCUCGGGUGGCAGCGCUGGCUGUGGGUUCUGAGAGCUGCUGCAGCCCUGGGAAAGGGAUGCUCCAUGCCCAAGACUUGCAUGCCAUGGGGGGCUUUGGGGCAGCUCAGAGCCCCCCUUGCCUCCCCUGGAAAAAGCUCUGCUGUGUCUGCUGUCAGGCCCAGAGAUUGCCUAAUGCUGUGUCCUGCUUGGCUAGGGAUGCCCAAAUCCUGCUGGGCUCAGCCAUCUAUUUAAUGAUUCUCUUGCCUUUAGAACGUGGUGCACAGCCUCCUGCUCAGUGUGUGGUGGUGCAGGGUGUUUAGGGGUGAAUAAAAGUAACAACCUUUUCA
rnacentral:lncRNA from 1 species